rnacentral:misc_RNA from 1 species
AAGUCGUAACAAGGUUUCCGUAGGUGAACCUGCGGAAGGAUCAUUAACACGUAUCCAACGUUAAAAACCCCGUGCAUUUUAACCCUGCUCUCCUCGCCUUGACAAGCAAUCUCUGGUAAAUCACGCGAUUAGUUUGAUUCAGAGACCUCUUUGAGACGUGUUGGAUGGAGCGGUAGAGCAAAUAGACUUGGUUUCUGGAACACACACGAGAAUGAGUGAAAGUGUCAUUGUAGUGUGCGCGAAGGAUAACUGAUACUUACUCAGAUCGUUGACCCUCACGGUCAACGGACAGGUCUCUGG